UAUGUUUGCAUUGUUUGCAUAUGUUUGCUUGUUUAAUGACUCUAUUUGAGGAUAUGAGUAUUAAAUAUGCAGAGGCAUUUAGUAUGCAAUGUUGAAUAAUAAUUUUAGUGAUUUGUUACAGUAUAAAAUGAUAAGGUUUUGCAUUGGUUUAUACUAACCUAUCUCACGAGUUCUUGUUGAGUUUGGUGUGGAUGAAGCUUUUUGAUAAAAAGAAGCAACUGCAUAUGAGAGGGGAAUGGAGGCAGCUCGCCAACACGCUGCUGCUCAGGAGGCGGUCGCCUCUACAUCUCAGUAUUACCCCAGUUUUACUUAUGGAUAUCAGCCAGGCGGUCAUUGGUAUUAAACCAACUUAGGCCAAAAGCCUAAGCUUGGGGGAGUACGUAUCUCUCACCGACUUUACAUUCAUGUUCACACACUAGUUGUCGAUGCUCAUACUCUUUCAUUGUAUUAUCCAUGCUAGUUUAAAAUUCUUUUUCUAGUUUUCUUCUUGUGUGUUUGAGAAAAAAACCUUAAGAAAAAACCAAAAAAAUUAGUUAGUUUAAUUUCGUUGCUUGUAGUAGAAAUUAAAAUGAAAACUCAAAAAGAUUUCUUGUUCUUCUUUUUACUUAUUGGGAGCUUUCCCGUGUAAAUAGUUUUAUUUUAUUUUCUUUCCUUUGGGGGUCGAGAAGACCAUAUUGAAAAUGCUUAGUGGUUCCUAUAUGCAUGAUUGUUUAUUUAACUUAGAGCCCAUAUUACCUUGUCUUCUCUCUUGAGUUGAAUGCUUGCAGAUUCCAGCUUAGUCCAAUGCACGUGCACUCUUAUUAUUAUACACAUCGUUCGGUUGUGCAAGUGAAAGGCAAUAAUGAUGACAUAUGAUGGACUUAGUGGGAUGAGAAAAGCUGGUAUGAACUCGACCUCUCUUGUUUUUGUAAAUAUGAUGAUUCAUCAUUCCUGAGUCAGCUAUUGUGAACUAAACAUAUUUGCAAUGACAUUUAGAGAUUAUAGUUGCUUGUGCCAUGCUUGAUUAGCUAUGAGUUAUAAUGCUUUACCUUGCAUGCCAACAUGCCAUUAGAAUGAUUAUGAUGUGGUAUGAUGGGAUGGUAUCCUCCUUUAAAUGAAUUGAGUGACUCGACUUGGCACAUGUUCACGCAUGUAGUUGAAUCAAAUCAACAUAGCCUUCAUGAUAUUUAUGUUCAUGGUGGAUUAUAUCCUACUCAUGCUUGUAUUCGGUGUGAAUUAAUUUUAAUGCAUGCUUACGACUGUUGUCGCUCUCUAUCAGUUGGUCGCUUCCCAGUCUUUUGCUAGCCUUCACCUGUACUAAGCGGGAAUACUGCUUGUGCAUCCAGACUCCUUAAAGCCCAAAGUUGUUCUAUAUGAGUCCACUAUAGGUACCUAUAUGCGGUAUUUACCUGCCGUUCCAAGUAAAUUUGUAUGUCCCAAACUCCAAAACUUCAAAUGAAAUUCUGUUUUGUAUGCUCGAGCAGCUCAUGUUACAACUAGGGCUGCCUAUAUCUUCCAUGCUAGGUGGGUUAUUCUCAAGAGGAGUGGACUCCGCUCCUCAUUCACGAGAAAGGGCCGGUAACCAGGAUGCCCAGUCCCAUGAUCCAAAAAGAUCAAAGCAAAUCAAAUUAAUUAAACAAAACUCCCCCAGGGCUGUUGUAUGUUGGAGGCACUUGUUGUUUCGAGCAAGCCAUGGAUUGAUGCUUGUUGGUGGUUGGGGGAGUAUAAACCUUUACCAUUCUGUUUGGGAACUGCCUAUAAUACAUGUAGUAUGGAAGAUACAGCCAUCUCAUAGUUGUUGCGCUGACAGUGAAAGUAUGCCGCUCAAAUUUUUAUUCAAUCUCUAUUUUAAAAUCGAGCUCUGGCACCUCUACAAAUCACUGCUUCCCUCUGCGAAGGGCCUAUCUAUUUACUUUUAUGUUGAGUCAUCAUCCUUCUUAUUAAAAAGCACCUGCUGGAGAGCACACUGUCAUUUGCAUUCAUUAUUAUUGGUUUAUAUUGGGUAUGACUUGACUGGAUCUCUUUUACCAUGAAUUACAAUGUUUAGUCAGUCCUUGAUCUUUAUAGGUGCUCUGCAUUUAUGUUUUGCGGUCUCAGAAAGGGCUUGCGAGAUACCAUUUUGUUAUAUCAUGUUAUGAUUAUUUUGAGAAAGUGUUGUCAUCCGAGUUUUAUUAUUAUGGCUUGCUAGCUGAUUAUGUUAUUGAUAUGAGUAAUUGUGAGACCUAUGUGUUAUUGUGAGUAUGGUUAGUUUAUAAUAUUUGCUGAAACUUGAAUGCUGGCUUUUCAUGUUACAACAACAAGAGCAAACAGAGUUUGUAAAAGUUUUUCUUUAUCACUUUCAGUUUAUCAACUGAAUUGCUUGAGGACAAGCAAAGGUUUAAGCUUGGGGGAGUUGAUACGUCUCCAAUGUAUCUACUUUUCCAAACACUUUUGCCCUUGUUUUGGACUCUAACUUGCAUGAUUUGAAUGAAACUAACCCGGACUGACGCUGUUUUCAGUAGAACUACCAUGAAGUUGUUUUAUGUGUAGAAAAGAAAAGUUCUCAGAAUGUCCUGGAAAUCCAUGGAGGCACCUUUUGGAAUUAAUAAGAAUUUUUGGUGAACGAAUUAAUGCCAAGAGGCCCACAGCCUGUCCACUAGACAAGGGGUGCGCCCCCCUAGGGCACGACCUCCUAUCUCAUGGGCCCCCUAGACCUCCUCCGACCUCAACUCCAACUCCAUAUAUUCUGUCUUGGGGAGAAAAAAAUUGAGGAGAAAGUUUCAUCGCGUUUUACGACACAGAGCCACCGCCAAGCCCUAAUCUCUCUCGGGAGGGCUGAUCUGGAGUCCGUUCGUGGCUCCGGAGAGGGGGAUUCGUCGUCGUCGUCGUCAUCAACCAUCCUCCAUCACCAAUUUCAUGAUGCUCACCGCCGUGCGUGAGUAAUUCCAUCAUAGGCUUGCUGGACGGUGAUGGGUUGGAUGAGAUUUACCAGGUAAUCAAGUUAGUUUUGUUAGGGUUUGAUCCCUAGUAUCCACUAUGUUCUGAGAUUGAUGUUGCUAUGACUUUGCUAUGCUUAAUGCUUGUCACUAGGGCCCGAGUGCCAUGAUUUCAGAUCUGAACCUAUUAUGUUUUCAUGAAUAUAUGUGUGUUCUUGAUCCUAUCUUGCAAGUCUAUAGUCACCUAUUAUGUGUUAUGACCCGACAACCCUGAAGUGACAAUAAUCGGGACACUUCUCGGUGAUGACCGUAGUUUUAGGAGUUCAUGUAUUCACUAUAUGUUAAUGCUUUGGUCCGGUUCUCUAUUAAAAGGAGGCCUUAAUAUCCCUUAGUUUCCGCUAGGACCCCGCUUCAACGGGAGGGUAGGACAAAAGAUGUCAUGCAAGUUCUUUUCCAUAGGCAUGUAUGACUAUUUAUGGAAUACAUGCCUACAUUACAUUAAUGAAUUGGAGCUAGUUCUAUAUACCACUAUGUUAUAACUAUUGCAUGAGGAAUCGCAUCCGGCAUAAUUAUCCAUCACUGAUCCAUUGCCUACGAGCUUUUCACAUAUUGUUCUUGGCUUAUUUACUUUUCCGUUGCUACUGUUACAACUACUACAAAACCCCCAAAACAUUUAUCUUUAUUGUUGCUACUGUUACCAUUACUUUCAUACCACUUUUGCUACUAAACACUUUGCUACAGAUACUAAGUUAUCCAGGUGUGGUUGAAUUUAAAACUCAAACUACUAAUACUCAAGAAUAUUCUUUGGCUCCCCUUGUGUCGAAUCAAUAAAUUUGGGUUGAAUACUUUACCCUCGAAAGCUGUUGCGAUCCCACAGACUUGUGGGUUAUCAGUCACCACCGAGGACCAUCCCGCCGCGCUCGCCGACCUCGCCCAUGCCUGCAUCACGCUCGUGGCCACGCGGAUCACGCCCCACGCGGAUCACGCCCCUCGUACAUCGUGCUCUAGGAUGUCGCCGAUGUACUCCCCGGAAUGCCUUCGCCUUAGUGAGACAUCCACACCUGCUUGAGUUCAUACUCUUGGCAAGCAAUUUUGGUUCUGUUUUCGGUACAAUUUUGGAGUUUGACAGUUUGAGGAGUUCUGCUCCACAAGACAGACUUCAGAGUUUAGAAGUCAGUUCUUUUAGCAGAUGUAGAUGGAAGGAUGGGGAAUUUAUUUUUGGAUCUUAGGCCUUGAUGUAGAUGGAGAUCGCCUUUAGGGCUCUGGAUCAAUUAAGGUUGUUGACCACUGGCUCAUGCCCAAAAGGAAUGAUGGCUGCAUAGACAAAUUUUACCCUAAAUAAAUGGUAAUUGAGGGACUCUCAACAAAAUUCAGGAGUAACAAAGAAAUACUAUGUCCAAAACCAGGGAAGUCCUAACUUUAAAGGAAAGUUGGUUCUCAGUUCUUAGAUUCUGAUCCUUUUAGUCCAGAUACAACAACUUUAAUUUCUUUUCUUGGAACUUAGUCAGAUAUAUUAUCUGGUUCUCAGUAUUUCCCCCCUGAUACCAAAAGUGUUUAGACAAGAGAAUCUUCCUCUGAUGUGUACCUACUUGUUCUUUUCUCCAACAAAGGCCGGAGCAGGAGUGGGGAUGGCAAUGAUUGCCGUGGUAGCUAACAACAUCUGCAUACCCUUGUGGAGAUUAUUUGGGGGAGCAUCAAACACUGUGACAACAGACAUCAUGGGUCAUUUAAAAAAAAUAGACAUCACGGUAUGGUUAUCAAAAUUUCCCCUUCACUGAGUUCAGCAUGUUUAUGCUUUAUCAAAAUUGCUAAGUUCAUCUAUUUCUGAAUUUAGAUUCCAAUUGUGACCCCAAAUGAAGCCGCUCAAUUGGCUGCUAAAUAUCGAGGACAAGGGUUUCAGACUCUGAAGCUCAAAGUAGGGAAAAACUUGAACUCAUACAUAGAAGUUCUGAAGGCUAUAUGGCUUGUGCAUCCUGACAACUCAUUUAUCUUGGAUGCAAAUGAAGGGUACACAGCAAACCAUGCAAUUGAAGUUCUUGACAGACUAAACAGUAUGUACUCUCACUAUGUUCAAUCUUUUCACUCUUAAAUAUCCGAGUUAGUGUGAUGUUCUAUGGUGAGGAAUUAAAAAUUAACUACUAUUUUCUCUGAAUCGGGCUUGAUUUUUGGUACAUAUUCUAUGAUGAUUGAUGCAAAGUCCGUGUUGUGCUCCUAUGACUGAGGUUGGAUAUGCUUGAUGUCCAAAAAAAAUUAGUGAUGCUUGCUUGAGCGAAAUGCCUAUUGAUCAUACUAACAUAUUACUUUUCUUCCCAAUGUGAUACAGGUAUAGAAGAAGUAGCAGAAAAUUGAAUACAUCGUUCUCUGUUGCAUCGAGGAUUGAUUUCAGUGCAACCUUUCAUUGAAAUCAUGUGAACAUGAUACUAUAGACUGCAACCAUGAAUUAAUUUUCCUUCAUGAUGUCUACAUGACCUUUUGAGCGUUUGGAUAUGAUUUACGGUCCUUCUACUCCUUUGCUUAAUGCCCCCCAUCAAUUGUAGGACCUUCAGGAUGGGACUUCCUAUCCAUUCUUAUCGGAUAAAUUAAAUAUAUCUGUGGAAAUCUAGGUAUGAGAUGUUUUUUUACAUCUGGUGUUCUUUACAUAUUAGUGUGUUGUAGCAGAUUUAGUGACAAAAACAUAUGUCAUCCUGGAGCAUUGAUAUAAUUACAUUUGCUCAUUUGUUGUUAUGUGUUUUGUUUAGAGGAAUUGCUUCUGUACUUGACAGAAUAGGAGCUGGUGUAUUUCAUGUGCAAUUUUCUUAUUUCGAGUAAGCUUGAAACUGAUGGUCUCAGUUGGUUUGUGUAUUGACUUUCUUUAGAGCCUGAAUCUAGAGAGACUAAGUAGAGGGUCGCCUUUGUGCAGGAAUUUACCGCAGGUCUGAUCCCUUGCACGUGCCCUCCGCUUUCCCUCUCGACCCUCCCCUUGCCGAUCGCCAUCCAUUUUAUUCAGAGUGUAGAUGGCGGGCAAAACACCUAAGCUCCAGGUGAGCUCCUACUCCAUCCUGCAGGUGUCAUAAUUUGUAUGAUGUUUCCAUUAUUAAGUUUUGCGAUCUAAUGCCUUGCUCUACUGUUUUUAUUUUUGAUCUCAACGUUUCAAAUUUUAUCGGACUAUGGUUACUUGAAUGCUCCAUGGGAAUUGGAAUGUGGGGGAUCUCAAAGAAUUUUUAUAAAUAAAAAUCCAAAUAUCAACAUUUUCUAAUCUCGCUCAAUGCUUGAGGUCUUAUAUAGAACACCAUGUUGAGAGCAACCUGCCAACAUCAUUUUCUCCAGAACAUUGAGAACCGAUAGGAUUCUAUUUGUAUUUACACCGACAUUCUCUCUCCUUCGACUAACUGAACAUUGCAUUAAUGUCGUACAUGCAUCCUACUUCAUAUGAGCAGCGCUCAUGUUUCGAAGAAAUAAACAGUGUGAGUUUACUAUUUAAGUGGAUGUCUUGUUUCUCCGGGAAUGAGCUUAAAAAACACAUGAGCUACUGUGACUAGAUGUCUUGUUAGCCGUAGACAGUAUUUUUGGACUGAGACUUGCUCCUGUUGUUUGUUUCAGAUAUUCAGUCUAAGAUCUAAAUUUCACCAAUAUGUCUUUGUUUACAUUUCUUGAUGUGUUUUAGAUGAACCGAAUCACUUGUGUUUAUAUGGAUAGUAGCUACUUUUACUUCAGCACAUAAAGAACAAAAUCUGUAUGAGUAUUUUUUAAAGCAUUUCUACAUAAGCAAAACAUAUCAAGGGGCAAUAUGCUGGAAUAAAAUCAUAUAUACAAAUUUGUUUGUAGAGCAAGGAUGAAAAGCACUCCAUACACACCCACAAGGAUGAUGAUCCAUCUGUUUCUAGGAUGGUGGGACUUGAGGUCAAACUGCAUAGGUUUACAUUCAACUUCGCUUGUUGAUGUUUCUGACAUAUACUUGAUGGAAUAUACAUAAAUAUAUGUUCUUUCUUAUAGGUUUGCACCAGAUUCAAGGAUCAACUACUUGAUGAAAUAUACAGGAGAAUCUCCUACUCAACAUUAGCUUAAAAAAAGAAUCAAGGAUUAGUUCAAUGGGAAUUAGAAUGAUGAAAACACUUGUUUGAGCACAUGUGAUCCUCAUAAUAGCAUAUUUGUAACAAAUCUCUAUAGUCAAAUCACUUUCUUUUACAAUUCUAUAGUAAAAUCACUUACUGUUGUGUAUAAGUGCCAUUAAGGAUCAACCUAUAUCUGUGGAGGUGCAUAAGCUAGAUAAGUGGGCACAUGAAUGCUCAGGAGGCGUGCCAAUGGCACACCCCAGCCACUAGUGUAUAUAAAGGAGGGAGGGAGAGAGGAGGUCGGCCAGGUUUGAGCGCGCUAGGGGGGAUUCCUACUUGGGCUCCUAGUCCAAGUAGGAUUUGCCCCCCCUUUUCCUAUCUUCCACCGGAGGGAAAGGUAAGGGGGAGAGAGGGGGAAGGAAAGAGGGAGGCCGACCCCCUCCCCUAGUCCAAUUCGGUUUGGGAAAGGGGAGGGGCGCCCCUCUCACGUGUCCCUUUCUCCUCUCCUCCAAUAAGGCCCACUAGGCCCAAUACUUCUCCCGGGGUUUCCGGUAACCUCUCAGUACUCCAAAAAAUGCCCGAACCACUUGGAACCAUUCUGAUGUCCAAAUGCAACCUUCCAAUAUAUGAAUCUUUACCUCUCGACCAUUUCGAGACUCCUCGUCAUGUCCGUGAUCUCAUCCAGGACUCUGAACAAACUUCAGUGCAUCAAAUCACAUAACUCAUAAUACAAAUCAUCAUCGAACGUUAAGCGUGCGGACCUUACGGGUUCGAGAACUAUGUAGACAUGACCGAGACACAUCUCCGGUCAAUAACCAAUAGUGGAACCUAGAUGCUCAUAUUGGCUCCUACAUAUAUUCUACGAAGAUCUUAUUCGAUCAAACCGCAUAACAACAUACAUUGUUCCCUUUGUCAUCGGUAUGUUACUUGCCCGAGAUUGGAUCGUCGGUAUCAUCAUACCUAGUUCAAUCUCGUUAACAGCAAGUCUCUUUACUCGUUCCGUAAUACUUCAUCCUGCAACUAAGUCAUUAGUUACGAUGCUUGCAAGGCUUAUAGUGAUGAGUAUUACCGAGAGGGCCCAGAGAUACCUCUCCGAAACACGAAGUGACAAAUCCUAAUCUCAAUCUAUGCCAACCUAACAAACACCUUCAGAGACACCUGUAGAGCACCUUUAUAAUCACCCAUUUACGUUGUGAUGUUUGGUAGCACACAAAGUGUUCCUCCAGUAUUCAGGAGUUGCAUAAUGUCAUAGUCUGAGGAACUUGUAUAAGUCAUGAAGAAAGCGGUAGAAAUGAAACUGACACGAUCAUAAUGCUAAGCUAACGGAUGGGUCAUGUCCAUCACAUCAUUCUCCUAAUGAUGUGAUCCCGUUCAUCAAAUGACAACACAUGUCUAUGGUUAGUAAACAUAACCAUCUUUGAUUAACGAGCUAGUCAAGUAGAGGCAUACUAGGGACUAUAGGUUCUGUCUAUGUAUUCGCGCAUGUACUAAGUUUCCGGUUAAUACAAUUCUAGCAUGAAUAAUAAACAUUUAUCAUGAAUUAAGGAAAUAAAUAAUAACUUUUUUAUUUCCUCUAGGGCAUAUUUCCUUCAAUGUGAACGUCAACUACAUGACACUUCACCAUCUUUGGGCCUAAGGGAAAGCAUUGUGGAGUAGUAAUUAGAUGAUGGGUUGCUAGAGUGACAGAAGCUUGAACCCUAGUUUAUGUGCUAUCCCGUAAGGGGCUGAUUUGGAUCCAUAUGUUUCAUGCUAUGGUUAGAUUCAUCUUAAUUCUUCUUUCAUAGUUGAGGAUGCUUGCGAGAGAGGGUAAUCAUAAGUGGGAGGCACCCAAGCACCGGGCCACCCAUAUAUCAAAUUAUCAAAGUAACGAACGCGAAUCAAACAAACAUGAUGAACAUGACUAGAGGAAAUUCCCGUGUGUCCUCAAGAAUGCUUUGCUUAUUAAAAGAGAUCGUUUUGGCCUGUCCUUUGCUACAAAAAGAAUUGGGCUACCUUGCUGCACUUUUGUUACCGUUACUAUUAUUUGUUUGUUACAAAUUAUCUUGCUAUCAAACUAUCUGUUACCGACAAUUUCAGUGCCCGCAGAAAAUACCUUGUUGAAAACCGCUUGUCAUUCCCUUCUGCUCCUCGUUGGGUUCGACGCUCUUACUUAUCGAAAGGACUACGAGUGAUCCCCUAUACUUGUGGGUCAUCAUACUGCACGACAGAGUCAUCACCUAGAGUGAAAUACGAGGAAUCACCCUCAGUAGAUCACACUAGAUGUGCUACACUACAGAGUCGUCAUCGAGAGCGAAAUACAAGGAAUCACCCUCGGUAGAUCACACUUGAUACGACUCAGUGUAAUGGUAUAAUUGUAAGGGCCUUUAGGGGUGUUCCGGUCUCGGUAUAGUGAUCCAUCAUCUCGGUCAACCCAGAUAGUAUGGCAUGGCAACACUGACAAGGGAGUAGGGCCAUUGAUGGUACACUAACUUACCUAUUCUAAGCAGAUAGGAUAACAAAUAAAGUAUCAAUAGCAGGUUAUCAAAAACAUGCUAUGCAUCAGUGUAGGAUCUACCGAGAAAGCUGUAACAGUAACACUACUCUAAUGCAAGCAAUAGAGAGAAGGAAUAGGCGAUAUUGAAAUGAUCAAGGGGGUUUUGCUUGCCUGGAAGCUCUAUCGAGAAGGAGGGGCCAUCGACGUCGUAGUCGUACUGGGUGUCACCAACAGCCUCGGGGUCUACCAAAAGAAUAGAGGAGAGGAGGGAAAUAGAUAAAUAACGAGCAUACAAGUGCAACACAGAUGCAUGUCAUGUCAGAAUGUGAUGAUGAUAUGCUUUAGUGCAUUCCUAAACAAUUUAAAAGAAGAGGAAAAACAUUCGGCAAUGUUUUCCCAGCUCUGGGUAUUUUUCAGUAUAUUGAUCCAGGGGUAAAUGUUCAUGGUUCAUUAUGUUAGAGGGGUGUGGUAGGUAUGUGGAUGACAUAUUCAGAUUCGUUAUAUUUUUCUGAUCAUAUUUCAUAUAUAAAUUAUUUUCAUCCGAGUCACAGAUUAUUUUAUAUGAUUUUUCAAAGUAUAAUUGAUUUCUAAAUUUUUGGAUUUAUUUUUAAUUCGAAUUUUUUAAUUAUUAAAUUGCUAUGUGCACACAAAGAAGUGUACACAACAAAUGGCUCUCUGGCUGACAAUGGGCCAAUGGGGCCCGAUUGACCGAUGAUACGUCUCCAAUGUAUCUAUAAUUUUUGAUUAUUCCAUGCUAUUAUAUUAUCCAUAUUGAAUGUUUUAUAUGCAUUAUUAUGUUAUUUUAUAUCUUUUUUGGACUAACCUAUUAACCUAGUGCCCAAUGCCAAUUGCUAUUUCCCCUUGUUUUUGACUUUACAAAAUUAAAUACCAAACAGAGUCCAAAUGGAAUGAAACUUUUUGAUGAUUUUUCUUGGACAAGAAGACAACCAGGAAGCUUCAGGGUGAGGCCAGAAGGGCCAAAAGAUGGCCACAUGCUUGGUGGGCGUGCCCUAGGGGGGCAUGCCCCCCAAGCUUGUGGGCCUCACGUGGCACUUUCAACCCUAAUUUUUCUUCUACAAAUACCCAAAUAUUCCCCGAAGACCAGAGGUGAAAGUGCAACUAUCCCUGGUUGGUUUUGGUAAUGAUUAACAACAUAUAGCUCAUUGAACUAAUGCCAUUACAAGAUAAACAUUUUAGGAAAGUUCAAUGAUUGGCAUGGCAUGGAUAAGGAAUUUGGACCCCUCAAAAUGCUAAGGACAAAAGAUUGGCUCAAGCUUCAAAUUCCAAGACUCUACAUUUUCUAUUUUAGUGAUCCAAGAUCACAUUGAGUCUAUAGGAAAGCCAAUACUAUUAAAAGGGUAUGAGGUGUUGCUUAAUGACUUGCUUGCUCAAAAUGCUUAGUGAUAUGCUUCAUAGCCCUCAACCACUUUCUCAUAUCCACAUAUGUCCCAAACCAAAAGUCAAACUCGGCCCCACCAAUUUGAUCCAUCCUGCGCCACCGAGUUCAUUUGACAUAGCCACUGCCAGAAACCCUAGUCUUUUCGGUCUCACUGAUAGGGAUCUCGAUCUCAUCGAGAUGGGGUUGCAAACUCUUUGUUUCCAUGUUUUAGCAUCACUCUUUAAUGAAACGGAAAUAACUUAAGGAUAUAGUAGUAACAAAUUUUUUCCUCAUGAGUGAAUAGGGUGGCUAUAUCAUUCAAUUUAGUAAGAUGUGCCACAACAGUUUCAGAUUCAUAGCCAUAAAAAGGAUCAGAUUCAACCAAAGUUAUUAACUCAGGAUCGACAGAGAAAUCAUAAUCCUUAUGAUAAAUACAGAUAGGUGAAGUAGCAAAAGCAAGGUCAUAUUUCAUUCUAGCAUUCAAAGACUUUUCUUUCAGCUUAGCUAACAGUUUCUUAAGAUCAUAUCAAUCUUUACAAGCAAAAAGGUCUCUAGCAGUUUCUUCAUCCACAACAUAACCCUCAGGCACAUCAGGCAACUCAUAUCUAGGGGGAGAAUCUUCAUCAUCACUUUCAUCAAUAUUAUCUGUUUCAAUAAUUUCAUUCUCUCUAACCCUAGCAAGUUGUUCAUCAAGAAAUUCACCUAAUGGCACAGUAUUAUCAAGCAUAGAAGUAGUUUCAUCAUAAGCAUCAUGCAUAGUGUAAGUGGCAUCAUCAAUAACAUGCGACAUAUAAGAAUCAAUAACAGGUGUAGGUGUCGCAAAUUUACUCAUAACAGAAGGUGAAUCAAGUGCAGAGCUAGAUGGCAGUUCCUUACCUCCCCUCGUAGUUGAGGGAAAAAUCGUGGUUCUUUCAUCUUUCAAGUUCCUCAUAGUGAUCAAUAGGUAUAAAUCCCAAGUGACUCAAAGAAUAGAGCUAUGCUCCCCGACAACGGUGCCAGAAAAUAGUCUUGAUAACCCACAAGUAUAGGGAUCGCAACAGUUUUUGAGGGUAGAGUAUUCAACCAAAAUUUAUUGAUUCUACACAAGGGGAGCCAAAGAAUAUUAUCAAGUAUUAGCAGUUGAGUUGUCAAUUCAACCACACCUGCAAGACUUAAUAUCUGCAGCAAAGUAUUUAGUAGCAAACUAGUAUGGAAGUAAUGGUAACGGUGGCAAAAGUAACAGUAGCAGUUUUUGUAGCAAUCGUAACAGUGGCAACGGAAAAGUAACUAUGCAAAGAUCAAUAUGUGAAAAGCUCAUAGGCAAUGGAUCAAUGAUGGAUAAUUAUGUCGGAUGCGAUUCCUCAUGCAAUAGUUAUAACAUAGGGUGACACAGAACUAGCUCCAGUUCAUCAAUGUAAUGUAGGCAUGUAUUCCGAAUAUAGUCAUACGUGCUUAUGUAAAAGAACUUGCAUGACAUCUUUUGUCCUACCCUCCCAUGGCAGGGGGGUCCUAUUGGAAACUAAGGGAUAUUAAGGCCUCCUUUUAAUAGAGUGCCAGACCAAAGCAUUAACACUUAGUGAAUACAUGAACUCCUCAAACUACGGUCAUUGAGGGAGUCCUGGAUUAAGGGGUCCUCGGACGACCGGACUAUUGAUAUGGGCCGGACUGAUGGGCCGUGAAGAUACAAGACAAAAGACUCUCUCCCGUGUCCGGAUGGGACUCUCCAUGGUGUGGAAGGCAAGAUUGGCGCUCGGAUAUGAAGAUUCCUUUCUCUAUAACCGACUUCGUACAACCCUAGUCCCCUCCAGUGUCUAUAUAAACCGGAGGGCUUAGUCCGUAGAGGCAAUCACAAUCAUAAUCAUAUCGGCUAGACUUCUAGGUUUUAGCCAUUACGAUCUCGUGGUAGAUCAUCCCUUGUAUUACUCAUAUUCAUCAAGAUCAAUCAAGCAGGAAGUAGGGUAUUACCUCCAUAGAGAGGGCCCGAACCUGGGUAAACAUCGUGUCCCCCGCCUCCUAUUACCAUCAACCCUAGACGCAUAGUUCGGGACCCCCUACCCGAGAUCCGCCGGUUUUGACACCGACAUUGGUGCUUUCAUUGAGAGUUCCACUACGUCGUCACCAAAAGGUUUGAUGGCUCCAUCAAUCAUCUACAACAAUGCAGUCCAGGGGGAGAUUUUCCUCCCGGACAGAUCUUCAUAUUCGGCGGCUUCGCACUGCGGGCCAACUCACUCGGCCAUCUAUAGCAGAUCGACAGCUACGCCCCUGGCCAUCAGGUCAGGAUUAGAAGCUUGAAUUACGUUGCCGAUAUCCGCAGGGGCUUGAUCUUCAACAGAUUCGAGCCCAUGACAGCCGCUCCCUGCCACCACGAUGAAGAUGACCUAAAUCUUUGUGCCCAGGAGAUAGCACCUAUAACUGCUCUGGCCCCAGAUCCAGAGUAGAUUACGCCGUCCGAGGACGGGAAGCUCAACCCCGCUGCGGAGGCUGUAGACUCAGCGGCGUUAGAGUAGCACACAGAUCCAACCUCGAGCGGGGCCUGUGUCAUCGGAACCUCAGAUUUGUCUCUGGCCAUAGGUUCCGAACCACGUGCAUCUGCGCCCAUCAAAUCCGAUCAGGCACCGAUCGUUGAGUUCAGCUCCGCGGACAUUUUCCCGCACUCACCUUUAGGUGAUGUGCUAAACUCAUUAAAAGCCCUCUCCUUAUCCGGGAGCUCUCAGCCGAAUUAUAUCAGGUUUGGAUUAGAAGCUGAUGACGGAGAAUUUCGAUUCCCACCCACCACCCACUUCAUAGCCACUGUCAAAGACUUAACCGACAUGCUCGAUUACGACUCUGAAGACAUCGACAGUAUGGACGACGAUGCCGGAGAGGAGCAGGCUCAAAAACCACCGCUUACAGGGCGCUGGACAGCCACCUCCUCAUAUGACGUAUACAUGGUGGAUACACCCAAAGAGAACAACAUCGACAAUGAAAAGGAUCCAGUCAAGGAUAAGCCUCCUGAGAUACAGCCUAAGCGCCGACGUCAGCAGCGCCGCUCUAAACCACGUCGCAGAAAGCAGAGCAAUACUGGCACAGGAGAAAAUAAUACUCCGGACGAUGCCGAAGACAAUGAAGACCCCGUUGAGCCAGCUUCCAAACAUGAUGAACGGGAAGAUAGGCGAGUUAGCCUUGAUGAACAGGCCAUGAAUGAAGGCUCAGAGGACAGUAACUACCUUCCGCUCUUCGAGGACGAGGUGAGCCUCGGUGACGAAGACUUUAUAGUGCCUAAGGAGCCAGUCGAUCAGGAGCGCUUUAAGUGCCGGCUGAUAGCCACUCCAAGGAGCCUAAAAAAGAAGCAGCAAUAGCUUCAAGAUGAUCAAGAUCUGCUCAAUGAUAGAUGGACUAGUGUCCUGGCAGCCAAGGAAUACGGCCUCGAGCGCCCAACCAAAAGUUACCCGAAGCAUAAAUUGUUACCCCAAUUCAAUGAUGAGGCACUGGAGCCCAUCCUACCAACGCGUAAUGCGGCUAACCAACCACCACGUGGCCGGGACAAAGCGGCAACUCAAGCCGAACACUAGCCCGCACUACCUCGUCAUAAAAACAGAGACACAACAACUCGGGGAUACACAUAUGACCUGCAGCAUGACCUGUGAACAUGGCAGCUCAGACCAGAUCAAUCUAUGGAUCACGGGGGUGUGCCCUGAUGCGUGAUGAUGGCCAUCCGACCAGAGGUGACGAACAUAACCAUGCCAGGGCCGAAGACCGCAGACGAACUCCAUCCAAGCUAUGUCGCGACUUGGAUCGAUAUAGAGGCGCCGCACACCCCCUCUGCUUCAGUGAUGAAGUAAUGGAACAUGAAUCCCCAGAUGGGUUUAAACCCAUGAACAUCGAAUCAUAUGAUGGGACAACAGACCCCGCGGUAUGGAUCGAGGAUUUUCUUCUCCAUAUUCAUAUGGCCCGCGGUGAUGAUCUUCAUGCCAUCAAAUACCUCCCGUUAAAUCUUAAGGACCUGCUCGGCACUGGUUGAACAGUUUGCCCGAAAACUCAAUUGGCAGCUGGGAGGACUUGGAAGACACCUUCCUCGACAACUUCCAGGGUACAUAUGUCCGACCUCCGUAUGCCGCCGACUUAAGUCACAUAGUUCAACAGCCCGGAGAGUCAGCCAGAAAAUUCAGGACUAGGUUCUUAACUAAAAAGAACCAGAUCGUCGACUGUCCGGAUGCUGAAGCCCUAGCGGCCUUUAAACAUAGCAUCCGUGACGAAUGGCUCGCCCGACACCUCGGCCAAGAAAAGCCGAAGUCCAUGGCAGCCCUCACGACGCUUAUGACCCACUUCUGUGCGGGUGAAGAUAGUUGGCUAGCCCGUAGCAAUAACAAUACAAGCGAACCUAGCACUUCUGAAGCCAGAAACAGCAAUGGCAAGCCCCGACACAACAAACACAAAUGUCGAAGCAACGGUGACAACACCGAGGACACGACGGUCAAUGCCGGAUUUGGUGGCUCUAAGUCCAUUCAGCGGAACAAGCCAUAUAACAGAAUCAAUCCGGGCCCAUCCAGCUUAGACCACAUACUCGAUCGUCCAUGUCAAAUCCAUGGCACUCCUCAUAAACCAGCCAAUCAUACCAACAGAGAAUGUUGGGUUUUUAAACAUGCCGACAAGUUAAAUGCUGAGAACAAGGAGAAGGGGUCACAAAGCAAGGACAAUGACGAGGAGCCCCAGCCAUCGAACACAGAGGGACAGAAGAAGUCCCCCCUAGGUUAAAACGGUAAACAGGAUUACGCUACCCAUAACCCCAAGAGGGGGCACAAGCGCGCGCUCAGGGACGUCUACGUGAUGGAGCCAGUCGCCCCAAAGUUCAACCCAUGGUCAUCCUGCCCGAUCACCUUCGAUCACAGGGACCAUCCGACCAUUAUCCGUCAUGGCGGUUCAGCCGCACUGGUCCUCGACCCAAUCAUUGAUGGAUUCCAUCUUACGCGAGUCCUCAUGGAUGAUGGCAGCAGCCUGAACCUGCUCUCUCAGGAUACAAUGCACAAAAUGGGUAUUGAUCCCUCAAGGAUCAAGGCCACAAAAACCAUCUUUAAAGGUGUCAUACCAGGUGUAGAGGCCCGCUGUACGGGCUCAAUCACACUGGAGGUGGUCUUCGGAUCCCUGGAUUAACUUCCGAAGCAAAGAGUUGAUCUUCGAUAUCAUCGCCUUCCGCAGUGGCUAUCAUGCACUACUCGGAUGAACCACAUUCGCUCGAUUCAACGCGAUGCCACACUACGCUUAUCUCAAGCUCAAGAUGCCCGGACCACGCGGUGUCAUAACAGUCAAUGGAAACAUGGAACGCUCCCUCCAUACCGAGGAGCACACCGUCACCCUCACAGCAGAAGCACAGAUGGUCGGUCCUAUCAAGGGCAGAUACACCAAGACGGCAAGAAGCACUAACGUAUAAGGGGAUUUCCAGGUGGUCUCUUUAAACGAUCGUUAUGCCUGUUUUAAAAACCCGCACGCAGCUCUACCUUGGUCGUGGCAUGUUAAAUAGCCAUGUUCUUUAUCGCACUACUUGUACAAAUACGCUUUGACAUAUUAAUCAAACUACAAUGGAAAACGGUUUGCGGCCCAAUUUUUGCAGCAUUAGCCUAUUGCUUCAUUUUUCCUUUUCUUGAUAUUUUUAUCAAUUGCACCCGUAGACUCUGGUAUGCCUUAAUUCGCCAGGGGCUUCAUUACGCCCCAUAAUAUGGCAACAAAGUCCAAACACUUUUUUACAGUACAGUUCGGCACCCCAAACUUAUAUCAUUAUAUGCAUCGGCUCUGAAUCAUGUCUUUUGUCAAUAGUUGGGUUGCCCGGCUCCUGUGCUUACUAGCUUACGUUCUGCUAUAUCGGCUAGGGUAGUAAAGGGAGAACAACUGCGAUUGUGUCCUGGUUCAUCCGGAUGAGCACCUCAGUAGAGAAAGCCGAAAACUGACUGUCAUGAUGCGGCGUGAGCCGGUCAGCUGUUGGAGAGGUUACAAAUCUUUUGCGAUUUUUCCGCAUUAUGCGAUGAAUCAGUUUUUAUCCGAUCACGUGUUUACAGCACCCCAAGUUCGGACUUACAAACACUAGGGGUUGCGCCUAAAUUUCUAUUGUCAAACUCCUAUGGCUAAGUGAGGGUGAUAAAGCUGUAUAGUCCGAUUGCCUGGUUCGUUGCGCUAAGAACCUCCUUUAAGGACCAAACUUUGGAUAAAGAGUGUUUAGAUUCAUCCUGAACACCCCCGUACUACCUACGUGGGGGCGGAAGCCGAUGACUGGCCACUCUCAAAUUUAACAAAACGGCCACACAUGAGGUAAAAUUUUAAAUAACAAGCAUUAUAUUAUAUAACAACUUUGUUUCAUAAUACAGGAAAGGAUAACAUGAAUGUAUUCAUUCAAAGAUAACAUCCAUAGCACAUUGCUCCGCCACAACGCGGGAUCCCUCCAGGACAUCUUCAAAAUGCUGCUCAGGCGUGCGGUGCUCCUUGCCCAUGGGCGGUCCCUCGGUCAUAAGCUUCGCGGCUUCCAUCUUCACCCAGUGCAUCUUGACUCCGGUGAAGGCCAUUCGCGCACCUUCGAUGCAGACCGACCGCUUGAUGGCAUCAAGCCGAGGGAAGGCAUUGACCAGCCACUUCACGAGCCCAAAGUAUCUGUUGGGCAUGGCUUCGGCAGGCCAUAGCCGGAUUAUUAAAUCCGUCAUGGCUAGUUUGGCCACCCUAUGUAGUUUGACCAGCUAUUUUAGCUGAUCGCUAAAGGGCACCGGAUGUUCUGGCGCAAGAUAUUGCGACCAAAACAGCUUCUCCAUGGAGCUCCCCUCUUCGGCUCGGAAGAACUCCGUAGCGUCUGAAACGGUGCACGGCAGAUCUGCAAACGCCCCUGGAGAACUCCAAAUCCGGGUCAGUAAAAGGAACCUUUUCUUCACAUAUUUGCUCUGCAUAAUAAAGGCCUUACCCGCCGCGAUUUUUAUGGCCUCCUGGAAUUCCUGGAGGGCGCCCUGGCCUUCAACUCGGGCAUCGUGUGUGCUUUGGCGGGCCUUGGCAAGUUCGGACUCUUGGUCUGCAAGGUUGCGCUCCAAGGACUCACAUUUAUUCACGGCGUCCUAGAGCUCCUGCUAGACCUCACUGACCCUGGCCUCAUGCUUUUCACGGGUAGCUUGCUCUUUGGCCGCUCUCUCCUCAGCCUUGGCCAGCGCCUUCUUGAGGGUCUCCACCUCAGUCGUCGCUCCUAAUAAAUAUCAUGGCACUUCAGUCAGCACAAAUCAUCCAUCCUUCCUGAAAAUAGACAAGGUUAUUACAUACCUUGAUUGUCUACCAGCUGCUUUUUCAUGCGGCCGAGCUCUUCCUUGGCCCGCUCUAGACUAUGCUUCAGUCCGGAAAUCUCAGCAGUAUGAGCGGUCGCAGCCAGUAACGAUGCCUACUUGUUCACAUUGACUCAUUUGGUUAGUCUCUGUGAAUUUUUUUGAUCCUCUGUCCGGCUUUUGUUUUCAAACACCAGACAAUGUCUCAAAGGCUACUAUCUAUACUGUGACAUUCUUUUAUAUUGCGUUGCUUACCUCAAAGCCUGUUAGAAGGCUUGUGCAGGCUUUGGUCAGUUCGCUCUUCAUGGACUGAAUCCUCUCAACCACCGUACCCAUAAGGGUAUGAUGUUCUCAACAAUGGAAGCACUUCGCAGCGCUUCCAUUAGAGUAUCCGGUGCUGUCGGGGAUAUACCCCGCGGUGUAAACCGCCAGAAGUAUGACCCGCCCGGAGCUUAGCGAUUCACGGGUAAUCCGCCCGGACUUGGCGGCUCAUAGUAACCCGGUGGGCGGGUCAGAUGGAUGACAAGGCCCAAGGCCCAGAAGGCCGGCUCAUGUUAAUGGUAGGCCGGCUUAAGAGGAAAGGCGUGAGGAAUAUCUCCCUUACAAGGAAUCAAGACCCGGACUUGUAUCCGGCUUGUAGUAGAAGAUAGGCUAGUCCUAAUCCUAUUUGGACUCCACAUGUAACCCGCCCCUCUAACUUAUAUAAGGAGAGGCAGGGCUCCCCAAGAGGGACAAGCAAGAAGCAAUAAUCUCUAGGGCUAGACACAACUAGAGGAGAGCCGGCUUACCGGCGACUCCCUCAUGAUCAUAAUGAGACCUAGCCACAAACAGCAUGUAGGGUUAUUACCGGAUGAAGUUUCCUGGGGCCCGAAGCUGUCUAAACCUUUGUCUUGUGUUGCGUAUCUUGAUUCCGCCCAACCUCUCUCAAGCUACCACAUAGAUGCGUUGGCCUCGCGACUAAGUCGUGACACUAAGGACAUCUGUCGUGACAAUUCCAUGAUAGUUGGCGCCCAUCGUGGGGCAUGCGCAAGGUGGUGUUGAGUUCUUGGACGGAUCUCUUUCAGGGAUCGAGAAGCUUGCGAUUCGUCACACGUGGAAGAGCCAGCAAUUUUAUUGUUUGUGAUUGGAAUUAGCUUUGGAGCUGAUAGUACAAGGAUCAAGAGAAAUUAAGGUGACAUUGAGUACAGCGCCGCCUUUAUUGCGGAUCGAAGACGUGCACAAGAUCAAUCAAGCGCGGGGAUCAAAUCACGCAGGUCGGCAAGAAUACUAGAAGAAUUUUCGUAGCGUAACAUGCGCCUGGCAAGCGGUCAAGUCGCCGAGUCAAGGUUACCAAAAAAAUCGCUGCAGUAUCAACCUGUAUGGCGUCCGUAUUCGACUGCUACUGCAUCUCCCCUGGUCCAAUGAUCAAGGUUGCGAGAGGUUCAAUCGGCCAAGGUACCACGUUGGUGUUGUUGUUCUCCACGUCAUCAUAAAAAAAUCAGCAAUCAACAGCAAAAGAAGAGAGCCACGGCUGCCAGCGUCUCCUGCAUGCAAGGACGGAAGCAUAUACACUGUUUAAAAAAAAGAGAAAGAAGGGAAGCUAACGAUCCAGAGGAAAACACGGACGAGGACUCAUCCAACCGACCACGACCCGGAUUCAUUCCAUGACCCGCCUCUGCUUCUGUUGCCUCGAGCUACCCGGCAUCUCCGUGCCUCCGUGUUUCUGAGCUGUCCGCGGCGAGCCAACCACUCUGAGCUGCAGCUGCGCUGUGCCUCUGGCUCUCUCUACUUCAGAUCCCGGCGUCACCUCGGCUCUUAGGCAUCCUGGAUGACCUCGGCGCCUCCGGCCUGUUGAGCCGUCGCUAGAGAAACCGCUCCACGCCUCUGGAUUGUAUCUGUCGAGCCGCUCGCCCCACAGCUGCAAGCCGCUACUGCUGCCUGACCUGCUGCUAUGGCCUGCUAUGGCACGCGCCCAGCCAUUUUACUCGAGGCCAGCGAGCAAGCCGCCGUCACCCAUGGCUGCGCCCUGCCUCCGCCGACCCAGGUCGUCGAGUGGCCUUGCCGCCGCCUCGCAUGCUGCUACUUCCAUUUGUGGCUGGGCCCGAGUCACCCGGAGGAAAUCACGGAGCUGGAUUGGGCCGGAGCAACUACAACCCGGAAGCAAAAACGGAUGAGGACUGCUCCAUCGCCCGUGCCCCCGCCACGCCUCCGGAAUGGGCUACCUGCCCCGUCAUGCCUGCGGCGACAGCCGUUUGCCACUCGCCGUCACGCCUGGAGUCGCCCUUGCUGGCAUGCUGGCUCGCCGCUUCGGCCCGCCUUGCCUUGUGGGUCCUCUUCCAUGUGGCUGCGCUAAGCUAGCUAUGGUUGCAUUUCUCCAACCCGCCGCUGUCGCGGAUGCAUUUCGUCGACCCACCGGAGUGCCCUCGUUACAACUUCUGAACCGGCCUCACUUAUGAUGUCUCCACGGACUCGUGCUCCACUACUAACCCGCCACCAGGUUACCGCGCCAUUGAGUUAUCCCGUCGGUCGCUAGUUCGACCCCGGCGUCGAACCUCCAUUUAAGCCGCCGCUGCUAUCAGAUUGGUGUACUUCAAAUGACAAAAGAAAGUGCUGCGGGCGGACUGUUACAGAAAGCUCACGCCAAAGAAAGAGGAGGGUCAAACUGGAUACAUGUUUGUCUUCCCUACACAUGCAUGAAAGAAAAUUCAAUUAGUAUUGCACGGUACUAUUACGGGAACAGAGCAAUGAGUCAUCAUCUGCUGGUCCAUCCAGAUUACAUCCAAACAAUAUCUAGUGCCAGCGUUUGUGUUCAUCCGACAAAAAUACCAGGUGCUAUCUUUUCUAUAUUUUUUAUACAUUUUUCAAAGGGACAAUUACUUUGGCCUGCGAUGUUUGUGAUGCAGGACAAUUGUUCACUACAUCAAAACGGCGUGGUUAACUCGCCCGCGCCGGUUUAUAGCAUCGCGGCCGAUUCAUCUGUCUGAUCCGGCUAUGAUGUUACUGUCGUCUUUACCGUCCGUCUCUCGCGGCCUGAUCUACAUCAACACACCGGGCCGCACUUGUCUGGAUGAGCUGUUUAUUGAGUAUGAGCAAGUCAGUACUUGGGAAGCCCGGUUUUCUUCCAACAAAUUGGAGGCAAAUUCUCAUAUAUUAUCAGCUGCUGUCUGCACUGGAUGGUUCAAUGGGCAGGCGCACAAGUCGCCGCCACUACAGUUUGGUUAACUUCAAACAGCCAGUUGGAAGGAACCAUUGGCUGAGUUGCUGACAUGGCUCAUACAGGAUCAUUUAUAACCUGCCGCAGUCACCUCAACCUUCUGUGGAUUCACAUCGCGCUAUCAACACCAAUGAUAUAUACCUUUUGCUAUGGUCAAAUAUGGAUAAUCUCAAGCCAACUCCUCGAGUCGUCUUGAGACUCGGGGGCUACAAUGGUAUGACUCGGCAAAAUUAGCCGGUUUCAAUAAAUUCAAAAACUCCGGGUCAUUGAAGGGAAGAGCAACCUGGCCCCGGAGAUUACUGCUAGAUCGAUGAAAAUUUAAAGGCUGUUAGAAGAUUUUUGGUUCAAAAUAAGGAUUCUGGUUUAAAAUCCUGUUCAAGGGAAAUUUAUCUACCACAAAGCUUUGAAGCUCUCAAAUCCGGUUCAAAAUCCGGUUCAAGGGAAAUUUAUCUACCACAAAGCUUUGAAGCUCUCAAAUCCGGUUCAAAAUCCGGCUCAAGGUAAAUUUGUCUCUCACAAAGUUUUGAAGCUUCUAAAUCUGGUUUCAAGUUACCGGUUCAAAAGAAUUAAUCUCUCGCAAGUUCGAUAUCUCGAACAAAUUAAUGGUUACCAAGGGGAACUUGCUGCCAUGAUGCACGGUUCAAAACAUGGGUAUCCUGCCUUACGGCUUAUUUUAUUAUGGUCACUUGGGGGCUUCCUGCUCAUCGGGCAUAGCUAUCAGUACCCUCUUGAUCGGCGCAAUGCCAAAAUUUAUAUGGUCACUUGGGGGCUUCCUGUUCAAACAUAGGUCGUAUUCGAACCAAAGAGAACAUAGCUGUCGAUACCAUUUUGAUUAGCAAACUGCUGAACCUACUUGGGGGCUUCUUAAUCAUAUCCGAAUCAUAGCUCAACCCCUUUGGGAAUCGACGUGGAUCGUAUUCGAAUCAGCAUCGUUAAACAACUUUUAAGGUAAUUUGGGGGCUUCCUGUUCAAACAUAGGUCGUAUUCGAACCAAAGAGAACAUAGUUGUCGAUACCCACUUUGAUCGGCAACGCCAACGCCAUUGGGGGCUAUAUGAUCGUAUUUGAAUCUUAGCUUAACCCCUUUGGAAUGGUUUACUGAUCGUAUUCGAAUCAGAAGCCUCAAAAAGUUUAUUUGUUUUUAUACAAUCGCAAGUAUUUGAGUUGUCACAAAUAUCAUAUGUCUCGGCUCUUACAGAGUUGAGUUAUCAACUUCACUGUCCGGGUUACAUAAGCCGGCGGUAUCAUUCAAAGGAUCAUAGGGAUCUUGUGAUCUACUUGUGUGCAGGAUAAGACUACAUUUGGGUGGUUACCCGCCCUGGCUUUUGAUGUUAAGUUGCCAGGGCAUAUGUUGUUUAAACUCUUUGCAGGAUUUGCAGAAAUAUGACAUAUAAAUGAUUAAGUUCAAGCUCAUUACCAAAGUUGAUGCUUCAAAAUGAUUAUCCGUUCUGGAUUUUUCUCAAAGGCUAUAAACCUCCGGAUUUUUCUCAAUGGCUAUAAACCUCCAGCUUACAAUGGAGGUGUAUUAAAUCGCCAUCGGCCAAGAGCCGCUGAUUAUUUAAAUCUGGAUUUACUUAUCAACAGAUGAGGUAUUCAAAUUUGCUUUGGCGCAAUGGCUAUUAUUUUAUUAAUGGAUAUGAUUUAUUCUACAAUGGAAGUAAUAGUCCCGAGUCGGGCUUACGACCCGACACUUGGGGGCUACAUUAUUCAAAUUGGGGUUACAUCAAAUAUGCAAGUCUCAUGUCGCUGCAAGCAUGCACCAUGACACUUGGGGGCUAAUGCAAUGUCAUUUUUCUUCACCUCAUUGAAGACCCGACUAAUCACAUCGUAAUGAGCCGGCCCUUGGGGGCUACCAAUUGUUCCUGUCAACAGUGCAAUGUACACUAGUCUUAAUCCAUUAUAUUGAAGGAUCCAUUGCUCAGUUGGUAAAGUACAAAGCUCUUAACCUUGUGGAUGUGGGUUCAAGCCCCAUGGUGGAGAUUACAUCAUAUGAUGUUAUUAUCAAUGAGUUAUAUACAAAGUCCCAACUCAGUAAUAUCUUACUGAGCCGGCCCUUGGGUGCUACACGUUGCUGCUCCAGUUUACAUGAUAAUAUUUACAAAGUCCCUGCUCAUUAUUGCAUAAUGACCCGGCCCUUGGGGGCUACACUGGUUGAAGUUUUAUGAUCAUAAGGCAAUUACAAGUCCCAGGUUGCUACAAGCAUGACAACCCGGAACUUGGGGGCUACAGGUGAUAUACAUAUAAGGGGAAAAAUCUUCAAAUUCUCAGUUUUGAGUAGGUCAGAUUGACCCGGUGUUUGCAACAAUCAUGAUCCGGUGUCACCAAUAAUUAUGACCCGACGUCGGAAACAGUUAUUACCCGGUGUUAUCAAUAUUUACAAGCCGGCAAUUUUGGCAGUUAUAACUAGCCAGCCUCUACAUCUUUAAACCGGCGGAUCACCAGAUGAAUCUUGAGUUCAAUAUGUUUAUUAAGUCGGAGCUUUGGAAACUGACUCAAAUGGAUUAUUUCUUAUAAUAUUUCUCAAUAAGAGACCAAUGUCAGAAAUUGACUCUGAAGCUGGCCUGUUGACCCGGAUUUCUCAAAGGAGUAUCUGGAUAUUUUACGUUGGUAAAAUUGGGACAUAUCUUCUAAGGAGAUUUGCUAUGAGAUCAUGGAUACAUAUCAAGGAAGAAAUGUCAAGGACUUAAGGAUGAUCAGGUGCCGGCAUACAAGAAUAUUUAACCCGGAGUACAGCCUAUCAAAUUUGUUCUUGUGUUUAUGUUGCAGAUCAGUUUAACAUGGAUAAAAUCCAAAUUAAACUUGGGGCUAAUGUCGGGGAUUUACCCCACGGUGUAAACCACCAGAAGUAUGACCCGCCCGGAGCUUGGCGAUUCACGGGUAAUCCGCCCGGACUUGGCGGCUCAUAGUAACUCGGUGGGCGGGUCAGAUGGAUGACAAGGCCCAAGGCCCAGAAGGGCGGCUCAUGUUAAUGGUAGGCCGGCUUAAGAGGAAAGGCGUGAGGAAUAUCUCCCUUACAAGGAAUCAAGACCUGGACUUGUAUCCGGCUUGUAGUAGAAGACAGGCUAGUCCUAAUCCUAUGUGGACUCCACAUGUAACCCGCCCCUCUAACUUAUAUAAGGAGGGGCAGGGCUCCCCAAGAGGGACAAGCAAGAAGCAAUAAUCUCUAGGGCUAGACACAACUAGAGGAGAGCCAGCUUACUGGCGACUCCCUCAUGAUCAUAAUGAGACCUAGCCACAAACAACAUGUAGGGUUAUUACCGGAUGAUGUUUCCCGGGGCCCGAAGCUGUCUAAACCUUUGUCUUGUGUUGCAUAUGUCGAUUCCGCCCAACCCCUCUCAAGCUACCACAUAGAUGCGUUGGCCUCGCGACUAAGUCCUCACACUAAGGACAUCUGUCGUGAAAAUUCCACGACAGGCGCCUCUGGUUGGACAGAGGUCACCGGCGGAAUUGGCGCACCUCCUCCUUCGGAAGGAGGCUGCUUGCAAGGUUCCAGGGCCGCAUAGGUCUCCGGUACUGUAUUCGGCUGGGGGCCAAACUAAAUAUGGCCCCCACCACCAGUUUCCAUGGGGAUUUGCUCCCCCAUGUGUUCGAUGGCCGAGGUUUCACCCUCUGGUGCCGCCCUGAGGGCCUCCUGAGUCUCUCCCUAACCUGGGAUCCUUCGGGACAACACCUUGGUGUUAUCCAUGGCCUUGGGAGAGGAGGCCACCGGGGACCCACUGUCCAUCACCUCCGGGUCCAGCGAAUCCCCCGAAGAUGAGGAUCGCUCGAGGUUGGACCGAGCCGGACUGCAAAUGCAUGACUCAACAUGUUAAGACUAUGAAGUAGAGAGGCCGGAUAUAUGAAUGCGUAUGGGUUUUUGAGUACUCAUGAUUUGGCCAGAGGCUUGUCUCGGGGGCACUGCUCUGGGCUGCUGUCGACAUCCCAUGCGGAGUUAUCCGCGAGGGAGCCCUUCCUCCUCUUGGACACCUCUCCUCCAGAUUUGUGGAGGCCGCCCUCUUCUUCCUUCCCCCUCAUGGGGAGAGUUGCUUUCCUCCUCCUCUUCAUCCUUGGCGGUGAAGGAGUGAGUCUCGGUGUAUUUGGACGUCAUGUUCGAAGCACCCUUGCGACGGAGGCCACCUCUAGUUCCCUUGGCCUUCUUCUCCGACGCUUGAUAGGGCGCCGGAACCAACAUCUUUGUCAGAAGUGGAAUUUCUGGGUCUUCGGGCAGUGGAGCCGGACAGUGAAUCCGCUCUGCCUUCUUCGUCCAGCCCUGAGAGAAUCAAUAGGGAUGCUUAGGCGUCUUCCCCGAGUAUGCGUGUAAAGGAUACACCUUGAAAACAUGGAAAAAUUUACCAGACUAGCGGGAUGGGCAAGUCGUGCCCACGGUCCUCGGCCGUAUUCAGCCAUGUUUCACUAGACUUGAAAAUCACCUUCCAGAUGUCUUCAUGCGUGGUGCUGAAGAACUGUUGCAAGAUCUGGUGCUUGGCCGGUCAAACUCCCACAAAUGGCAAGUCCGGCUUUAGCACGGAAGGAUCCUGCGAACAAGCAUCACCUGGAUCACAUUGAGGAGCUUGAUAUUCUUGUCUAUCAUGCUCUUGAUGUGCGUUUGAAGCGUCGUCAGCUCAUCUGAAGAAGACCAAUCCAGGCCCUUCUCUGGCCAGGAGGUAAGCCGCAUCGGGGGUCCGGAUCGGAAUUCGGGAGCCACGGCCCAGGGGGUGCCAUGCGGCUGUGUGACAUAGAACCACUUCUGUUGCCACCCUUUGACAGUCUCCACGAAGGAGCCUUCGGGCCAUGUGACGUUGGGCAUCUUGCUCACCAUGGCGCCUCCGCACUCUGCGUGUUGACCACUCACCACCUCCGUCUUCACAUUGAAGAUCUUUAACCAUAAUCUGAAGUGGCGUGGGAUGCGAAGGAAUGCCUCACACACGACAAUGAAUGCCGAGAUGUUGAGAAAGGAGUUGGGGGCCAGAUCGUGGAAAUCCAGCCCAUAGUAGAACAUGAGUCCAUGGAUGAACGGGUGGAGAGGAAAUCCCAACCCGCGGAUGAAGUGGGGGAUGAAUACUGCCCUCUCAUGGGGCUCCGAGGUGGGGACGAUCUGUCCCUUGGCCGGAAGCCGAUGGGCGAUUCCCUUGGCCAAAUACCUAGCCGCCAAGAGCUUGGCACCUGGAUAUGAAGAUUCCUUUCUCUGUAGCCGACUUUGUACAACCCUAGUCCCCUCUGGUGUCUAUAUAAACCAGAGGGCUUAGUCCGUAGAGGCAAUCACACUCAUAAUCAUAUAGGCUAGACUUCUAGGGUUUUAGCCAUUACGAUCUCGUGGUAGAUCAACUCUUGUAAUACUCAUAUUCAUCAAGAUCAAUCAAGAAGGAACUAGGGUAUUACCUCCAUAGAGAGGGCCGGAACCUGGCUAAACAUCGUGUCCCCCGCCUCCUGUUACCAUCAACCUUAGACGCAUAGUUCGGGACCCCCUACCCAAGAUCUGCCAGUUUUGACAUCGACAGCCAUCACCGGGAGUGGUCCCGAUUAUUGUCAUUUUGGGGUUGCCGGAUCAUAACACAUAGUAGGUGACUAUUGACUUGCAAGAUAGGAUCAAGAACUCACAUAUAUUCAUGAAAACAUAAUUGGUUCAGAUAUGAAAUCAUGUUACUCGGGCCCUAGUGACAAGCAUUAAGCAUAGCAAAGUCAUAGCAACAUCAAUCUUAGAACAUAAUGGAUACUAGGGAUCAAACCCUAACAAAACUAACUUGAUUACAUGGUAAAUAUCAUCCAACCCAUCACCGUCCAGCAAGCCUAUGAUGGGAUUACUCACCCACGACAGUGAGCAUCAUGAAAUUGGUGAUUGAGGAUGGUUGAUGAUGACGAUGGCGAUGGAUUCCCCUCUCUGGAGCCUCGAACGGACUCCAGAUCAGCCCUCCCGAGGAAGAUUAGGGCUUGGCGGUGGCUCCAUAUCAUAAAACACGAUGAAUCCUUCUCUCUAAUUUUUUUUCUGCCCGGAAGUGAAUAUAUGGAGUUGGGGUUGAGGUCGGUGUCAUCCCAGGGGGCCCACGAGGCAGAGGGCGCGCCCUGCACCCUCCUGGAUAGGGUGUGGGCCCCCUGAUGUUGAUUCUUUCGCCAAUAUUUUUCAUUAAUUCCAAAACGUGUCUCCGUGGAUUUUCAGGUCAUUCCGAGAACUUUUAUUUCCGCACAAAAAUAACACGAUGGCAGUUCUACUGAAAACAACGUCAGUCUGGGUUAGUUCCAUUCAAAUCAUGAAAGUUAGAGUCCAAAACAAGGGCAAAAGUGUUUGGAAAAGUAGAUACGUUGGAGACGUAUCACUACCGUACUGUGAUGUUAUAAUAUAUUUAUGUGCCUGAUAUGUAAUUGGCAAACAGUUGUUCGAUAUGAAAUGUGAAUUUGCGUAAUACCGGAAUUAUUAAUUGUAAACUAAUAAACCUACUAAAUGUGUCAUGGACCUUUUCAAACGGUUCUAGUAGUAAAAGCGCUUGCGAUGGAUAGCUCAAUGUCACACAGUUUUCUUCAUCAAAUCGUGUGUGAUAUAGUUGAUAAAAGCAAACAGUUAACCAAGGCAGACCGUGUGUGAUAUUUACACCUUUCACACACGAGCCUACACACAAAACUGGGUGGGAUGUACGUCUGAACGAAAACAUUUUCCCUGGAUUGACUGUGUGGGAUUUACAUAAGAACGGGAACGUAUUCCUUGGAUUGACUGUGUGUGAUAUACAUACGAACGGAAAUGUUUUUCUGGGAUUCACCGUGUGGGAUGUAAAUACCUAUGGAAAUGAUUUUCUCGGAUUACCGUGUGCGAUGUACAUACAUACAGAAAUGAUUGGGUUUCGAUGCCUCGCCUGAUUGCACACGGCCCCAGCCUGGGUCCCAGGAGGGCCUAUCCUCAACAAUUUCUGGGUCGUGUGGGAAGGACCCCCAUAUCACUCACUUGGUGACGGUUCCAAAUGCCAUCGCGGAAAGGGGUUUAAAACCAUUUGUUUAGGACCGACGCGUACCAGUGUCAUCUAAAUGAUCACGUGAUCCAUAUCAACUAAACCAUCUCCGACCAUCACGUGAGAUGGAGUAGUUUUCAAUGAUCACGUGAUCCAUAUCAACUAAACCAGUGUCAUCUAUGUUGAUCAUAUCAACUAUAUGAUUCCCAUUCGACCUUUCGGUCUCAGUGUUCUGAGGCCAUAUAUGCAUAUGCUAGGCUCGUCAAGUUUAACCCGAGUAUUCUGCGUGUGCAAAACUGGCUUGCACCCGUUGUAUGUGAACGUAGAGCUUAUCACACCCGAUCAUCACAUGGGGUCUCGGCACGAUGAACUGUCGCAAUGGUGCAUACUCAGGGAGAACACUUAUACCUUGAAAUUUAGUGAGGUAUCAUCUUAUAAUGCCACCGCCGUACUAAGAAAAAUAAGAUGCAUAAAAGAUAAACAUCACAUGCAAUCAAAAUAUGUGACAUGAUAUGGCCAUCAUCAUCUUGUGACUUUGAUCUCCAUCUCCAAAGCACCGUCAUGAUCUCCAUCGUCACCGGCUUGACACCUUGAUCUCCAUCAUAGCAUCAUAGUCAUCUCGCCAACUAUUGCUUCUACAACUAUCGCUACCGCUUAGUGAUAAAGUAAAGCAAUUACAUGGUGAUUGCAUUUCAUACAAUAAAGCGACAACCAUAAGGCUCCUGCCAGUUGCCGAUAACUUUUACAAAACAUGAUCAUCUCGUACAAUAAUUUAUAUCUCAUCAUGUCUUGACCAUAUCACAUCACAACAUGCCCUGCAAAAACAAGUUAGACGUCAUAUACUUUUUUGUUGCAAGUUUUACGUGGCUGCUACGGGCUUCUAGCAAGAACCGUUCUGACCUACGCAUCAAAACCACAACGAUUUUUCAUCAAGUGUGUUGUUUUAACCUUCAACAAGGACCAGCCAUAGUCAAACUCGAUUCAACUAAAGUUUGAGAAACAGACACCCGCUAGCCACCUAUGUGCGAAGCACGUCAGUAGAACCAGUCUCAUGAACGCGGUCAUGUAAUGUCGGUCCGGGCCGCUUCAUCCAACAAUGCAGCCGAAUCAAAGUAAGACGUUGGUGGUAAGUAGUAUGAUUAUUAUCGCCCACAACUCAUUGUGUUCUACUCGUGCAUAUAUCAUCUACGCAUAGACCUGGCUCGGAUGCCACUAUUCGAGAACGUAGUAAUUCAAAAAAAAUCCUACGAUCACGCAAGAUCUAUCUAGGAGAAGCAUAGCAACGAGCGGGGAGAGUGUGUCCAUGUACGCUCGUAUACCGAAAGCGGAAGCGUUUAGUAACGCGGUUGAUGUCACUACAAAAAAAGGACACAUCUGUGACAUUUUGGGCCGAACGAAUUUUUUUGUCAUACUUAUGACACUUCUAUGACGAUAAUUGUGACAAGACCCGUUAUCAUCAUAGAUGUAGUGGGCUCCUAUUUCUAUGACAAAAAACCAUGAAAGAAAAUGGGCUUUUCAUACUGGGCGGGCCGGAGACGCAGCUGCAUGAAAUUAUUUGGGCCAUCCAUGACGAAAAAAACCGUGGUAGAAGCGAGGGCGAGGAAAAUAUUGGGGUGUUCCCGGUUAUGGUGGGUGGUCGGGGCCAAGUGAUGCACGGAGGUUUGCGCGUUUCUCUCAUACACGCACGUGCGUGGGUGCGAGGCGUUGGGCUCUAACUGAAUCCGAGCGAGGCGUUCGCCUACUGAACCCGAUCGAUUGCACUACAUGCUAUGCGCUACUAAACCCGAGUGAUUGAUCGGUGGCUGUUAACUGAACCCGAUCGAGCGAUUCCUUCGCUACUGCUGCUAACUGAAGCCGAUCGAUGCUGCCUCUAGAUGNNNNNNNNNNNNNNNNNNNNNNNNNNNNNNNNNNNNNNNNNNNNNNNNNNNNNNNNNNNNNNNNNNNNNNNNNNNNNNNNNNNNNNNNNNNNNNNNNNNNNNNNNNNNNNNNNNNNNNNNNNNNNNNNNNNNNNNNNNNNNNNNNNNNNNNNNNNNNNNNNNNNNNNNNNNNNNNNNNNNNNNNNNNNNNNNNNNNNNNNNNNNNNNNNNNNNNNNNNNNNNNNNNNNNNNNNNNNNNNNNNNNNNNNNNNNNNNNNNNNNNNNNNNNNNNNNNNNNNNNNNNNNNNNNNNNNNNNNNNNNNNNNNNNNNNNNNNNNNNNNNNNNNNNNNNNUUCCCGGUGGGGGUGGAUGAACAGGACCCCGUGGUGUUGCCUCUAGAUGAACAGGACCCCGAUCGAUCGAGCUGGUUGGGGCUGGAUGAAAAGGACCCAGUGGAGGGCUGGAUGAACAUGACGACCCCGUGAAGGGCUGGAUGAACAGUAGAUGGUGGAGGGUUGGAUGAACAGUAGCCUGUGGAGGGGUGGUUGAACAGGAGCCUGUGGAGAGGGCUGGUUGAACAGUAGCCGGUGGAGUAGCGCGCGGUGGAGGCUGGAUGAACAGUCGCAGGUGGAGGCUGGAGGCAGUCGACGGUGGAGAUGAACAGUAUCCCGUGGAGUCCCGUUUUGCGGUACGCCACACCCCUCCCGAUGAACAGGACCCCCGUUUAGACCAUAGCGCUCCAACAAGUUCGUUUCCUCCGUUCUGCGGUACGCCACACCCCUCCCGAUCAACAGGACAACGUUUCGACAGUAGGAGGUCCAACACAAGUCCGUUCCUCCGUUUUGUGGUACGCCAGACCCCUCCCGAUGAACAGGAACCCGUUUCGGACGUGGUCGGUCGAACACAAGGCCGUUUCCUCCAUUGUGUGGUAUGCCAGGCCUCAUUUCCAUUGGUUGUUCUGUCUAAGUCGGUUGGCUCCCACGCGUAAUGUUGCCUCCCGAUGAACACGACGCAUUUUGUUCCCUCCCCAUGAACACAACGACGAUGCAGUUUCUCCGUUCUGGCUCGGCCAUGUACACGAGCCCUGGCCGUAUGUAUGCGCGAGUAGGCAUUCGAGACCCCGUCCGUAUGUACGUACAUGGUCAUAUUUUCUUUCUUGCACACUGGCCGAUGUACGUACAUGUACAUGCUACGUGCGUGCCUCUACUACGAUUAGUAUGUACGUACACGUUCGCGACCAGAAUGACAACGCUACGUACGCUUUGACCAGGUGGGUCCCGGAUGUCAGGCACUUCCUUGCAUGCGAAGAUAUAGCUGGUGGGUCCUAGUAGUCAGGGGGCGAAUCGUUUUUUCUUUUGCCCGGACACACUUCCUUGCGUGCGAAGAUGUAGCUGGUGGGUCCUAGCAGUCAGGGGGGCGAAUCAUUUUUUUGCCCGGAUGAACUUCCUUGCGUGCAAAGAUGUAGCUGGUGGAUCCUAGCAGUCAGGGGGGAAACGUUUUUUCGCAAAAUAUGGUGGCCCGUCCGGUGGGUCCCCGCUAUCAGGUGGAGGAAUAAUUAUUUUGCGCGUAAUAAGGAGGCACUUCCUUGGGGCUGCCGUGGACCCAGCUGUCAGCCUCUCCAUGCACAGUACUCUUCCGAUGGAAGUUACUUGUUGACCACAUUGACCAUGCUGCGCCGAAAGCACCAAGGUGGUGGACGACGGUGAAUCCUAGGAAGGGGACGACGCGGAGUCGGGGAACAUGCGGUAGUGGAGGCCCACGCGGAGAGGAGUACGAUGGUUCACUGGUUCGGCUGCGGUGUGAGGCUGCAGUCGCCACAGAAUAACAGGGGGUGUGGGUGAGUAGAGGGAUGGCCUAGCCAGCGGUGGGAGUAGUAGGGGACGGUGAGGCCUCCGCGGCAUCACAGCCGGCCAUGGGAGGCAGGAGCACGUGGCACGACCGGCAUUGGUUUGGGCGGCAGGAGCAAGAAGACCAUAGGUUGAAGAAGCACUACGGCCAUUGGAUGGACAUCGUACGGUCAGUGGAGCUAGAAUUAUUCAUAUAUUGAUGAAGUUGACAAAGCCCUCCGUCCCCGUCAACUUAGCAGGCCCACAAGUCAGCCUCCCACUAUGCUGGGUCCCAGCUGGGAGGGGGUAUUCAUUUUUUUGUGUGCAAUAAGGAGGCACUUCCUUGCGUGCGAAGAUAUAGUUCGUGGGUCCGACCUGUCAGUGAAGGGAACUUUUUUUUCGUGAAAUAGAGAGGCCCUUCUGGUGGGUCCCAGAUGUCAGGUGGAGGAAUCAUUAUUUUGCAUGUAAUAAGGAGGCAUUUCCUUGUGUGCGGUCGUGGACCCAGCUGUCAGCCUCUCCACGUACAGUCCACUUCCGAUGGAUGUCGUUCAUUGACCACAUUGACCAUGCUGCGCUGAGAGCACCGGGGCGGUGGCCGACAGCGAGGCCUAUGAAGGGAACGACACGAAGCCGGGGAAGACACGACAGUGGCUGCCCACACGAUGGAGAGUAUGAGGGUUGACUGGUUCGGCUGCCAUCGCCAGAAAAUAACAGGAGGUGUGGGUGAGUAGAGGGAUAGACAGGCCAGGGAUGCGAGCAUGAUGGGGCCGUGAGGCCUGCCCGGCAGAAUAGCCGGCCACGGGAGGCGGGAGCAAGCGGUUCUGACGGUGCUGGUUUGGGCGGCUAGGGCAGGAAGAUCAGAGACUGAAGAAGCACGAUUGCCGUUAGAUUGACAUCUAAUGGUCUGGCGCUGGUAGAGUCGAUUGUUGACUAGGUUUCUUUUUUGAGAAACCUUGUGUAUGCAUGAACUUAGUAGGCCCACAACUCAGCCUCCAAAUCUGUGGCACACAACAUAGAGCCCAUUUGCUAUUUUUAAAUAAUUUGCAGCCCAUUUGCUAAUUCUUAAAUAAUUUAUUACAACCCAUUUUGUGCCCAGGACCACGGUCAAAAAGUUGAACCUUAUUUUGCAUAUUUUGGCGGAGUCCGAACUGUUGUAAUCUCGAAAUGAUAAACAUUUUUUAAGAACUUACUGAUUUACCCAAAAAAAUCGUUUAGUUUUUGUAAGCAAAAUAAGACGUGGGACAAUUGAGUUUGUUUAAGGGAAAACCAGUGGUAAAAAAAUCAGCGCUGGGAGGGAAAACAACAACAAAAAUAAGGAUGUAAAUAUGAAAAGGGAAUUUUAUGUAUUUUCAAUAUAAUGAUACGUGUAUAUGAACUAGUAAAACUAUAGGUAGAUAUUAGAAAACGGAUGUAGGACAUGCGAUUCAAGAGGAAAAUAGAACUGGGCUGUGUGUUUGAUUCAGUAAAAAAACUGCCUGCGGAUGUUGUAAGACAAAAUAUAACAAAUGCUGGUGGGCAAUAGGCCAGUAGAUACCUGCUGGAUCUUUGUGCCCCGUUGUCAUCAUGGGUCGGGCCUGUUAAAAACAAAACCAAGCCUGGGCAGUCUACAACCCAGUUGAAACUUGCUCGACCUGAAAAAACAAUAUAUGUGCUCAAUAAACGAGAGAAUUCUGCAAGUAUAGACUGAUAACUGGGAUGCAACAGGGGUAUUGUUUUUUCAUCGUGAUAAUAAGUGCAUGCACUUGUUUCGAAAAAUUUGGAGAACUGGGAAUUCGAACGAUAGGUGCUUAUGCUACCCAUCAAAUAAAAAUCAGGUGCCUGAAAAUUUGUUUCAAAACAAAUGAUUCAGCUUUAUAUCCACGUCGACCCUCGACAUGAUAGUUGGAAGCAAAUGCCAAGUUCAUACCAAAAGAUCGUUAACAACAAUACGAACUUGCAGACGACAAGGUAGUACAAGUACCAAUACCAAACUAACUUAUAAUAUUUUUACUCCUGGCCCUAGUGUUCAUCUGGUAGAAAAUCUUGCAGAGGACCAGCUUCCGCUCCUUCUCUUGCUCCAGGUCCCCGAGGUGGUACUGGUGCAUCACCCAGUUGGUCCUUUGUUGGUCGAAGUUCUUGUUGGUGUGCAGCACCAGAACCUUUUUGCUGCCCGUCUGCCGGCCGUUGACCAUCACCGGCAAGGUAUUGCCGGUCUUGUGCCACAUCGCGUGCAUGCUGCACUCCAACUUUAUCUUGCAACCCGUCCACGUGCCCCUUUAGACGCCCUGGAAUUGCGCUGGAAGAGAAAAUGUUUGCGUAGGCCACUUAGUGUGAUACCUGCAGUAUUGUCGAAUAUAGGUUUUAGUGUACGUAGUUGGCAUUUUCAUAACAUCUUUGGCAUGUUGUAGUCACUUGUUUCACUUUUUAUUAACUGUCAAAUUGUAAUUGCUUCACCAGGUCUGCGUCUAAAUAGAAAAAUAGAGCUACAAACAAAGGAAUAUGUUUGUGCAAGUAGAUGGCUGAUCGGUGUCUUACCUGGAAGUUUCUCAGGAUGGGUGUAGCAUAUGACGUGCUCGCUGUCGAUGGUUGGUAUGAACAAAUCGAUGAGAGGGUGAGAUCUCGUGCUGUCAGCACUCACUUUCGCCUCAAGGUGCUCGAUCAACUCCUGAUCCAUGGAAUCGAACUUGACACCAGACGGCAGCACCGGCCAAUCCUUCUUCCACUUGCAUUCGUUUAAUUCCAGUUAUAUGUUACUCAAUGUAUAAUCAAUCGACUGUUUUAAGUAAAUGAUCAGAGAUUUCGACAGAUAAGUGGUACUCCAAAUCUGAAGUCCAGAAUACCCCAACAUGCCGCUGGGAUUCUUGUGUCACGUCACACGCAGCGUGUUGUCACGUCAAUUCAAUGUGUGGACAUGAUGAAUAAUUUGACCGACGUAUACUAGUACUGCUAUUGUACUACUUAAUAGUCGUAUUUAGUGUCACAUUUUAACCAUAGGUUUAACUAACAAGUACGCACUUGAAGCCUAAUUGAUAUAUAUAUAUAUAUAUAUAUACACACACACACAGACACAACAUCUCCAUCAUCAUUAUCAGUACAUCCUACGCAGGUGAGUUAGGAUGCACUUGAUCCCAGAAAGGUAUCUAUCCUUCAAACCAGAGGAGUGCUUCAAACGAACAACAGUACAUAAAUCCAACAAAAGAGGGUCGUGCUAUAGCAGCAGAAUACAUGGCUCAGUCUAGAUAUCAGUACGAAUCAAGUUGUGCAUAUUUGCUGUGGGCAUGAACCACAUCGCCGCAUGUUGGGUUUGCAAAAGCCAUCCAUCGCAUGGAAGCUUGAUGCCUUUCACACACUGAAGAUUAUCUGGCAACAAGCUGUGUUGACGAAUCUCUGGAUAUGGUGAUUCAUGAAACCCAUGGUAUGA
rnacentral:lncRNA from 1 species